GCAAAUCUGCGACCGCCGCUACCUUAGCCAUCUUGCUCACUGUGCCGAUCAGGGAGCUCUAACGCCGAGUGCUUCGCCACCACCCACCAAAUCGAGACAGGAGCAAGCACCGUCCUGAGAACCGUCGUAACUCAACACCAUUCUGCGCGCUCCUGAUUACUCACCGGAGCGAAGCUCCACCGAGGACCCACCCCUACACCAUAGGCUGGCUGCACCACGACAUAGUCGUUGGUAAGACCCCUUCAUAAUGCUCUCCUUGAUUCUCGCCUUGCGCAGCACGGCCAGGAUCAACGUUUAGUGCCCGAGAACUCUAGAUGGGGAUUGCUCCGGCGAUGGUCCGCCACGGGUAGUGGGCGGCUCCACCGUGCGUUGCCACCGGGUAUAGAAGAACGCUCGUGGCCGUUGGAUCUUAAUGGGCGGCCCAGAUUGAAGCAGCCAUUCCCCUUCGCCUGUUUUUUAUAUGUGUCGUAGAUUAUCGGAUCUACGGUCGGGAUUAAAUUAAAAGAUGAACAUACCCCUUCGUUCUUUUAAUAUGGGCCGUGGAUCACAGAUCCAGUGGUAUGCGGGCGCAUACCAUUUUGAGUUAAAAUCAAUCUAAUCGGGUGCGUCGGUUAGUGAUCGGGCGAUCAAGAUUAAUUCAUACCCCUUCGGCACGCUCGUUUUACAAAAGAGACUCUCAGGUUUCUAUUAAUGAACUCGUCGUCCUACCUACAUUUAAAACCUUUACUGGUAAGUCCAUUUGUUUACAACCGGGACCCUGAAAUUUACAGAGUAACCCCUGGUCUUUUGUAAAAUAGUGGUUGCGGUCCAUGGAUUUCUGGAUAUUGAGAAGAUUAAUUUGAAAAUGAUUUCUAGUAUAUGAAUAAUUCCCGAACCUUGUUAAAUUCAUAAUUAAUUCAUUUUAACUCCUUUUUAACCCGUUCAAGUUGCGUUAGCUUUGUAAUAAAAUUGUCUACGCGCUGGCAGCAUUAAUUGUACCAUAAACCACAAUUUUAUAAAUAGAUAAUGGUUUAGCCUAUGAUUAGUAGAUUAAUCCUUCUAACCAAAGUUAAACUGGUCCAUGAUGGGAAGUUGACUAAAAUAUGAUUUCUAAUCAGGUUAUAACCUAGAUUAAAAUUGAGUUAACUAUUUGUAGAAUAUGCUCUCAUAUGAUGUAUACUAAUUAAUUUAUAGUAUAAUUUAAUAUUUAAAUCGUAUAGAUCUUCCAUAAAUCAUAACUUCUUAACCGUAACUCCGAUUUUAGUGGUUCUCGAACCUACAAUCUCGUUACGAUGUGUAGAUCAUCAUUUAUGCAGUUUGUUCUUAUGUUUGGUGUGAUGUUAAUUUUUCCUAUACCAUGUUUGUUUGUAUUGCUACGAAUAGCAGUGAGGUCCCGAGAAUCUGAAAAUCAUCCUGGUACCUGGAAUCUCGAGUCCCAGGCAAGUUGUGCCCUUGAUCACUCCUUUUUACCUAAUAAUGUUCGCUGUUAAUCACUGAGACAUGCUCAGGUUAAUUUGAUGAGACCUAAUAGGUUUUCUUAGCAUUGUUUAUCCCUCACCUUGCAGACAGAUGAAUUAUUGGGUAGAUUUGCUAUUGCUCUACCUGGAUUUGGGAAGCUACUGUUUUAUUAUGAUCAUGUUCCAAUUAUGAUGUUGUUUAAUUAUUGUUCAUGAUAAGAUCAUAUUGUUAAUUGGAACAUGGAGCGACCACCCGGGAAAACAGUGCUACCACAAGGGUGGUAUGGGACGCUCUUGGCUGACUAAUUAGGAAAGCUAGUGGAGGACUAUCUUACCCAAAAGGGGUAAGGGCAGUAGGGGAGUGGUCCAUGUAGGGAGGUUCUCAGGCUGAUUUUGCUGCGAUGGAGGUCAGACGAGGGAUCCCUGCAUUGGGGCUUCCUAGGAACUGUAGCGGGUUUUCUGAAGCUAGUGGAACUUUGUAAAGGCCUCAAAGUGGUACCCUGCCUCGCUUCCUUAGUAGAGGUGUAUGGGGUCUGAUCUACUCCGUGGCAAAUGGGUAACAUGACUUAUGGGUAAAGAUGCGCAACCUCUAUAGAGUGUAAAACUGCUAUAUUAGCCGUGCUCACGGUCAUGAGCAGGUCAGACCCUCGCAUGAUUAAUUUAUGGAAUUAAACUCAAUUUGUCAUUUGCAUUACAUUGUAGGUGUUGUUAUUAAUCUUGAUCUCUUAUUUAAUUGGGUUGGUAUUUACUUAUACUUAGUAAUUGCUAAUAAAAUUUUGACCAACUUUAAAAACAAUGCUCAUCUUUAACCAUCCUCUUUGGUAAGCCUUACACUUCACAUGAGCUCCCACCUUUGGUGAGUUCAUGAACAUUAUUCCCCACAACUUGUUGAGCGAUGAACGUAUGUGAGCUCACCCUUGUCGUCUCACAUCCCCCACAGGUCAAGAACAUGUACCGCAGGAUGAGGCACAUGGAGGAUGCUGUGAUAAGUUCGUGAGAGGUCUAG
rnacentral:lncRNA from 1 species